UACGUAGGUGGCAAGCGUUGUCCGGAUUUACUGGGCGUAAAGAGCGCGCAGGCGGUCGGAUCAGUCGAAUGUGAAAGCCCCCGGCUCAACUGGGGAGGGUCAUUCGAUACUGUCCGACUCGAAGGCAGGAGAGGGAAGCGGAAUUCCCGGUGUAGUGGUGAAAUUCGUAGAUAUCGGGAGGAACACCAGUGGCGAAGGCGGCGAUCUGGGAAGAUACUGACGCUGAGGUGCGAAAGCGUGGGGAGCAAACAGG
rnacentral:rRNA from 1 species